ensembl:piRNA 21ur-15362 ncRNA
UACUCAAAAAUAGCAGUCACG